rnacentral:tRNA from 1 species
GCCCGGAUGGCGAAACUGGUAGACGCAAGGGACUUAAAAUCCCUCGGGCCUCACGGCCCAUGCCGGUUCGAUUCCGGCUCCGGGCACCA